GGAAGUAAAAGUCGUAACAAGGUCUCCGUUGGUGAACCAGCGGAGGGAUCAUUACCGAGUUAUCCAACUCCCAACCCCUGUGAAUUAUACCUUUAAUUGUUGCUUCGGCGGGACUUCGCGCCCGCCGGGGACCCAAACCUUCUGAAUUUUUUAAUAAGUAUCUUCUGAGUGGUUAAAAAAAUGAAUCAAAACUUUCAACAACGGAUCUCUUGGUUCUGGCAUCGAUGAAGAACGCAGCGAAAUGCGAUAAGUAAUGUGAAUUGCAGAAUUCAGUGAAUCAUCGAAUCUUUGAACGCACAUUGCGCCCGUCGGUAUUCUGGCGGGCAUGCCUGUUCGAGCGUCAUUACGCCCCUCAAGUCCCCUGUGGACUUGGUGUUGGGGAUCGGCGAGGCUGGUUUUCCAGCACAGCCGUCCCUUAAAUUAAUUGGCGGUCUCGCCGUGGCCCUCCUCUGCGCAGUAGUAAAACACUCGCAACAGGAGCCCGGCGCGGUCCACUGCCGUAAAACCCCCCAACUUUUUAUAGUUGACCUCGAAUCAGGUAGGACUACCCGCUGAACUUAAGCAUAUCAAUAAGCGGAGGA
rnacentral:rRNA from 1 species